GACGAACGCUGGCGGCGUGCUUAACACAUGCAAGUCGAACGGAAAGGCCCUGCUUUUGUGGGGUGCUCGAGUGGCGAACGGGUGAGUAACACGUGAGUAACCUGCCCUUGACUUUGGGAUAACUUCAGGAAACUGGGGCUAAUACCGGAUAGGAGCUCCUGCUGCAUGGUGGGGGUUGGAAAGUUUCGGCGGUUGGGGAUGGACUCGCGGCUUAUCAGCUUGUUGGUGGGGUAGUGGCUUACCAAGGCUUUGACAGGUAGCCGGCCUGAGAGGGUGACCGGCCACAUUGGGACUGAGAUACGGCCCAGACUCCUACGGGAGGCAGCAGUGGGGAAUAUUGCACAAUGGGCGGAAGCCUGAUGCAGCAACGCCGCGUGCGGGAUGACGGCCUUCGGGCUGUAAACCGCUUUCGCCUGUGACGAAGCGUGAGUGACGGUAAUGGGUAAAGAAGCACCGGCUAACUACGUG
rnacentral:rRNA from 1 species